CUGGUUGAUCCUGCCAGUAACAUAUGCUUGUCUCAAAGACUAAGCCAUGCAUGUCUAAGUAUAAACACCUUUAUACUGUGAAACUGCGUACAGCUCAUUAUAUCAGCAAUUAUUUAUUUGAUGGUACCUUACUACAUGGAUAACCGUGGUAAUUCUAGAGCUAAUACAUGCACAAAGUCCCAACUCUUGCGGGGAGGGAUGUAUUUAUUAGAUACAAAACCAAUACCACCUCUGGUGGAUAUUGUGGUGACUCAUAAUAACUGAUCGGAUCGCAUGGCUUCACGCUGGCGACAGUUCAUUCAAAUUUCUGCCCUAUCAGCUUUCGAUGGUAGUGUAAAGGACUACCAUGGCUAUAACGGGUAACGGGGAAUUAGGGUUCGAUUCCGGAGAGGGAGCCUGAGAAAUGGCUACCACAUCCAAGGAAGGCAGCAGGCGCGCAAAUUACCCAAUCCUGACACAGGGAGGUGGUGACAAGAAAUAACGAUACCGGGCCUUCACAGGUCUGGUAAUCGGAAUGAGUACAAUUUAAAUCCCUUAACGAGGAUCCACUGGAGGGCAAGUCUG
rnacentral:rRNA from 1 species